UGUAUUCAGCAUUUCACUGUGAGGUCUACUACACCUGUUGUAUUCAGCAUUUCACUGUGAGGUCUACUACACCUGUUGUAUUCAGCAUUUCACUGUGAGGUCUACUACACCUGUUGUAUUCAGCAUUUCACUGUAAGGUCUACUACACCUGUUGUAUUCAGCAUUUCACUGUGAGGUCUACUACACCUGUUGUAUUCAGCAUUUCACUGUGAGGUCUACUACACCUGUUGUAUUCAGCAUUUCACUGUGAGGUCUACUACACCUGUUGUAUUCAGCAUUUCACUGUAAGGUCUACUACACCUGUUGUAUUCAGCGCACGUGACAAAUAAACUUUGAUUUGAUUUUUCAAAAACAGUGGCAGGUUGUUCUUUGUUAUAAUUCCAGAUUGGCCCUUCAUGAAUGGGCUCUAUGAUCACUGGCUCCCUCACCUGCGGAGUUCACUGGAGGAGGUUGGAACUAACCAAGUCCAUCAGGUGUCCCGUUGCACCGAGAGGUCGAGCUCGUCUCCUAGUUACCCAACACGAGAGGUCGAGCUCGUCUCCUAGUUACCCAACACGAGAGGUCGAGCUCGUCUCCUAGUUACCCUACACGAGAGGUCGAGCUCGUCUCCUAGUUACCCUACACGAGAGGUCGAGCUCGUCUCCUAGUUACCCUACACGAGAGGUCGAGCUCGUCUCCUAGUUACCCUACACGAGAGGUCGAGCUCGUCUCCUAGUUACCCAACACGAGAGGUCGAGCUCGUCUCCUAGUUACCCUACACGAGAGGUCGAGCUCGUCUCCUAGUUACCCAACACGAGAGGUCGAGCUCGUCUCCUAGUUACCCAACACGAGAGUUCGAGCUCGUCUCCUAGUUACCCAACACGAGAGUUCGAGCUCGUCUCCUAGUUACCCAACACGAGAGGUCGAGCUCGUCUCCUAGUUACCCAACACGAGAGGUCGAGCUCGUCUCCUAGUUACCCUACACGAGAGGUCGAGCUCGUCUCCUAGUUACCCUACACGAGAGGUCGAGCUCGUCUCCUAGUUACCCAACACGAGAGGUCGAGCUCGUCUCCUAGUUACCCAACACGAGAGUUCGAGCUCGUCUCCUAGUUACCCAACACGAGAGUUCGAGCUCGUCUCCUAGUUACCCAACACGAGAGGUCGAGCGUCCACAUCUACAAUUGGCACUACACUUUUGAAUUGGUAUUAGUGAAUAGAUAUUAAAACGUCAACAACAAAACAGUUAUUCAACGAGUAGGUCUAGUAAUCCUGUUUAGAAAUUGGCUAAACGAAAUAUCUCGAUUGAGCUGAAGUCAGAAAAAUAGGUGGCCUAAACUUGCAAGGAGAUAGAAAACUCAGGACGAAGACAAGGGGUGCUCUGUAGGCUACUCACGGUAGGAUUUAGCCCCGGUUUGAGCCCCGGUUGCUUGCAGCACGGAGAGUAGUGCCCGCUCCGUGCCAGAUCUCCCGUCCCGGUCUGCUGCUUCUCCGGAGAGUAGCCUCGUGUCCCGCCGUUGUCAAGGUGAUGUCACACAAACCGAGUAAAAUGUCGGAAACAUUAUUUUUAGAGCACCAGUGUUUGUGAUCGUAUUAAUUAUAUGGCACCGUACAAUGCCUCCCUCAUCCCCAUAUGAUCCGUAACAAAAUAUGCACAAAUAUAAUUCACUAUCCACAAACAAACACCUGUUGACUUGUAUUUUGUAAACCAAGAUUGUUAAUAAAUGCUAAAUGAGCAGAAUAACCAGUGAAGAACAUAUUUCCUUAAUUAUAAAUAAAUAAAAGCAUUUGUGUGUGUGUGUGUGUGUGUAGUAUCCAAUCAUUUCAAAACAACACUUUCCAGGUAGAACUGUCGAAUCUGCGUGUGUGGCUCAA